GUCCCAAAACUGAUCCCUGCGGAACUCCACAGGUUAUGUUGAGUACAUCUGAUUUCUGACCAUCUAAUUCUACAAAUUGUUUCCUAUCUCCAAUGUAGCUCCUAAUCCAGUUUAAUGGCACCCCUCUAAUGCCAUACCUUUCCAGUUUUUUUAAUAACAUGUCAUGAUUAAUGGUAUCAAAAGCUUUUUUGAGAUCCAGAAAUACACCAAUUGCACAUUUCUUUUUAUCCAUAUUGUCUAUAAUUUCUUCUGUUAAUGCCAUCAGUGCCAUCGAAGUUGAUCUUUUUUCUCUAAAACCAUACUGACAAUCAGUCAGAAUGUUUUGCUUUUCAAUGAAAUUAUCCAACCUUUUACUAAAAACUUUUUCUAGUAUUUUUGAAAAUUGACAGAGAAGUGACACUGGUCUAUAGUUGCUAAUUAUAUUCUUAUCUCCAGAUUUAAAUAGAGGAAUAACCUUCGCUAUUUUCAUUGCAUUUGGAAAUGUUCCAGAAAUGAAUGACAAGUUGCAGAUGUAAGUUAGAGGAUCUGCCACAUCAUCAAUUAUCUGUUUUAUAAGUGACAUGUUAAUGUCCUUCCAGUCCAUUGAUUUUUUAUUGUUACAUUGAUUAACUAUUUCCUUAAUUUCAAUUUUGUCUACUGGUUUCAGGUUGUCUACUGCUUUCAGA